GACGAACGCUGGCGGCGUGCCUAAUACAUGCAAGUCGAACGAGAGCGACCGGUGCUUGCACUGGUCAAUCUAGUGGCGAACGGGUGAGUAACACGUGGGUAACCUGCCCAUCAGAGGGGGAUAACAUCCGGAAACGGAUGCUAAAACCGCAUAGGUCUUCGAGCCGCAUGGCUUGAAGAGGAAAAGAGGCGCAAGCUUCUGCUGAUGGAUGGACCCGCGGUGCAUUAGCUAGUUGGUGAGGUAACGGCUCACCAAGGCCGUGAUGCAUAGCCGACCUGAGAGGGUGAUCGGCCACAUUGGGACUGAGACACGGCCCAAACUCCUACGGGAGGCAGCAGUAGGGAAUCUUCCGAAAUGGACGCAAGUCUGACGGAGCAACGCCGCGUGAGUGAAGAAGGUUUUCGGAUCGUAAAACUCUGUUGUUAGAGAAGAACAAGUGCUAGAGUAACUGUUAGCGCCUUGACGGUAUCUAACCAGAAAGCCACGGCUAACUACGUG
rnacentral:rRNA from 1 species